rnacentral:lncRNA from 1 species
UUAUUUUAGUAUUUUUAAUUUGAAUAAAUGCCACAUAAUUAUGUUGACCUAUUGUGAUGGUUUGUGUAAGUUUGACUUAUGUUGUUGGGCCUUGGUCAAGGUUGAUUUGACUUUGUUAAGUUAAUAUCAUUGGAUUUAGUGGAUUGAUGGAAUGUACAUUCCAUCUCCCGAAAUGAAUGAAUGAUAUUAAUUUGGUAAAAAUCCUCAUUUGACCAAUUUGAGUUUUGAUCCAUU